UAAAUAGCCCGUAUUGCUUUGGCAGAACCCCGGUUCUUAGAGGGAUUAUCGGCUCAAGCCGAUGGAAGUUCGAGGCAAUAACAGGUCUGUGAUGCCCUUAGAUGUUCUUGGCCCGCACGCGCGUUACACUGACGGAGCCAGCGAGUACUCCCUUGGCCGGAAGGCCCGGGUAAUCUUGUUAAACUCCGUCGUGCUGGGGAUAGAGCAUUGCAAUUAUUGCUCUUCAACGAGGAAUCCCUAGUAAGCGCAAGUCAUCAGCUUGCGUUGAUUACGUCCCUGCCCUUUGUACACACCGCCCGUCGCUACUACCGAUUGAAUGGCUCAGUGAGGCUUUCGGACUGGCCCAGAGAGGUGGGCAACUGCCACUCAGGGCCGGAAAUUAUCCAAACUCGGUGUCACAAAGGAAAAAAAAACGUAA
rnacentral:rRNA from 1 species